GGGGUGUGAUCAGAGCAGGGAGCCCGAGAAUGGCUCCUCUGUUUACAACACAUCCAACAGGAACGUGGGGUACCCCUCACGGGGGCAGGACCCUCUGGCCUUCCUGUCACAUGACACCCUGUAGAU
ensembl:snoRNA small nucleolar RNA SNORA11